UAGGGAAUCUUCCACAAUGGACGCAAGUCUGAUGGAGCAACGCCGCGUGAGUGAAGAAGGCUUUCGGGUCGUAAAACUCUGUUAUUGAAGAAGAACGUGUGUGACAGUAACUGGUCAUGCAGUGACGGUAUUCAAUCAGAAAGUCACGGCUAACUACGUGCCAGCAGCCGCGGUAAUACGUAGGUGGCAAGCGUUGUCCGGAUUUAUUGGGCGUAAAGCGAGUGCAGGCGGUCUUUUAAGUCUGAUGUGAAAGCCUUCGGCUUAACCGAAGAAGGGCAUCGGAAACUGGGAGACUUGAGUGCAGAAGAGGAGAGUGGAACUCCAUGUGUAGCGGUGAAAUGCGUAGAUAUAUGGAAGAACACCAGUGGCGAAGGCGGCUCUCUGGUCUGUAACUGACGCUGAGGCUCGAAAGCGUGGGUAGCAAACAGGAUUAGAUACCCUGGUAGUCCACGCCGUAAACGAUGAAUA
rnacentral:rRNA from 1 species